rnacentral:rRNA from 1 species
AGAGUUUGAUCCUGGCUCAGGAUGAACGCUAGCGACAGGCCUAACACAUGCAAGUCGAGGGGCAGCGGAGAGGUAGCAAUACCUUUGCCGGCGACCGGCGCACGGGUGAGUAACACGUAUGCAAUCCACCUGUAACAGGGGGAUAACCCGGAGAAAUCCGGACUAAUACCCCAUAAUAUGGGCUCUCCGCAUGGAGGGUCCAUUAAAGAGAGCAAUUUUGGUUACAGACGAGCAUGCGCUCCAUUAGCCAGUUGGCGGGGUAACGGCCCACCAAAGCGACGAUGGAUAGGGGUUCUGAGAGGAAGGUCCCCCACAUUGGAACUGAGACACGGUCCAAACUCCUACGGGAGGCAGCAGUGAGGAAUAUUGGUCAAUGGUCGGCAGACUGAACCAGCCAAGUCGCGUGAGGGAAGACGGCCCUACGGGUUGUAAACCUCUUUUGUCGGAGAGUAAAGUACGCUACGUGUAGCGUAUUGCAAGUAUCCGAAGAAAAAGCAUCGGCUAACUCCGUGCCAGCAGCCGCGGUAAUACGGAGGAUGCAAGCGUUAUCCGGAUUUAUUGGGUUUAAAGGGUGCGUAGGCGGCACGCCAAGUCAGCGGUGAAAUUUCCGGGCUCAACCCGGACUGUGCCGUUGAAACUGGCGAGCUAGAGUGCACAAGAGGCAGGCGGAAUGCGUGGUGUAGCGGUGAAAUGCAUAGAUAUCACGCAGAACCCCGAUUGCGAAGGCAGCCUGCUAGGGUGCGACAGACGCUGAGGCACGAAAGCGUGGGUAUCGAACAGGAUUAGAUACCCUGGUAGUCCACGCAGUAAACGAUGAAUACUAACUGUUUGCGAUACAAUGUAAGCGGUACAGCGAAAGCGUUAAGUAUUCCACCUGGGGAGUACGCCGGCAACGGUGAAACUCAAAGGAAUUGACGGGGGCCCGCACAAGCGGAGGAACAUGUGGUUUAA